rnacentral:rRNA from 1 species
UACGGGGGGGGCAAGCGUUGUUCGGAAUUACUGGGCGUAAAGAGCUCGUAGGUGGUUUGUCGCGUUGUUCGUGAAAACUCACAGCUUAACUGUGGGCGUGCGGGCGAUACGGGCAGACUGGAGUACUGCAGGGGAGACUGGAAUUCCUGGUGUAGCGGUGAAAUGCGCAGAUAUCGUAAGGAAGACCAGUGGCGAAGGCGGGUCUCUGGACAGUUCCUGACACUGAGACACGAAGGCCAGGGGAGCAAACGGG